CAGUUAAAUUUGAAUUUCAGGUAAAUAAGGAAAUAUUUUUUAGCAUAACUAUGCCCUUAUGCAAAAUUUGGGGCAUACUUAUACUAAAAAAAAAAAAAAGUUUAUUU
ensembl:miRNA